GACGAACGCUGGCGGCGUGCUUAACACAUGCGAGUCGAACGGAAAGGCCCGGCUUUGGUGGGGUGCACGAGUGGCGAACGGGUGAGUAACACGUGGGUAACCUGCCCUGUAGUGUGGGAUAACUUCAGGAAACGGUGGCUAAUACCGGAUAGGAGCUGCUACUGCAUGGUGGGGGUUGGAAAGUGUCGGCGGUUGCGGUUGGACUGGCGGCUGAUGAGUUUGUUGGUGGGGUAGUGGCUUACCAAGGCUUUGACGGGUAGACGGCCUGGGAGCGUGACCGGCCACCUUGGGCCUGCGGUAGGGCCCAGACUCCAACGGGCGGCAACGGUGGGGAAUCUUGCCCAAUGGGCGCAAGCCUGUUGAAGAAACGCUGCGUGCGGGAUGCCGUCCUUCGGGUUGUAAACCGCUUUCGCCUGUGACGAAGCGUGAGUGACGGUAAUGGGUAAAGAAGCACCGGCUAACUACGUG
rnacentral:rRNA from 1 species